rnacentral:rRNA from 1 species
UGGGGAAUUUUGGACAAUGGGCGAAAGCCUGAUCCAGCAAUGCCGCGUGUGUGAAGAAGGCCUUCGGGUUGUAAAGCACUUUUGUCCGGAAAGAAAUCCUUGGCUCUAAUACAGUCGGGGGAUGACGGUACCGGAAGAAUAAGCACCGGCUAACUACGUGCCAGCAGCCGCGGUAAUACGUAGGGUGCAAGCGUUAAUCGGAAUUACUGGGCGUAAAGCGUGCGCAGGCGGUUUGCUAAGACCGAUGUGAAGUCCCCGGGCUCAACCUGGGAACUGCAUUGGUGACUGGCAGGCUAGAGUAUGGCAGAGGGGGGUAGAAUUCCACGUGUAGCAGUGAAAUGCGUAGAGAUGUGGAGGAAUACCGAUGGCGAAGGCAGCCCCCUGGGCCAAUACUGACGCUCAUGCACGAAAGCGUGGGGAGCAAACAGGAUUAGAUACCCUGGUAGUCCACGCCCUAAACGAUGUCAACUAGUUGUUGGGGAUUCAUUUCCUUAGUAACGUAGCUAACGCGUGAAGUUGACCGCCUGGGGGAGUACGGUCGCAAGAUUAAAACUUAAAUGAAUUGAC